rnacentral:rRNA from 1 species
UGACGACCGAAACCCCGGGGAACGGCGGCCGUAACUAUGA